rnacentral:misc_RNA from 1 species
UUCGUUAUUUUAAUGAUUGGUUCAGAUUGUAGUUUCAGAGUAAAUUUGAAUAUACCGGUGGCAUCAGUAACAAAACCCAAAAGGACUUGUGCAACCAAUGCCGAACUAGUAUAUGAAUUAUUGUGGGUCGUGACACAUGGGUUUUGAGUGUUAAACUCAAUUUUUAAUGAUCCCUCCGCAGGUUCACCUACGGAGA